GACUUGGAGAAUUUCACGCCAUCAAGACCACACAGCUGUUUGAGUGCUGUUGCUGACACAGCUGAGCCACAAAUUAACGAAAGAGGUCAGAGCACCAUUUGUGGUUAUGGUACCUGUGACAGCAACAGCCCUCAAGCAUCUUGUAUGGGUCUAAGUGGUAUGAAGGAACCCAUUAAUGCAGUUCAUGACCGGGCAGUCACAACAGAGAAUCGAGAGAAUGCUCGACGAUGCACGACCACACGGCCACCACUCAGAGAGCUGCCAGUAAUGGAAAAUCAGCUGGACCCAACCAGCCAGAGUACAAGAUCCCCCUCCUAUUUGGAUCGUGUCCGUAGGGACUACCCAGCCCCACAAUACAACAGA
rnacentral:lncRNA from 1 species